CAAGCAAGGAAGGAGGAAGCAGGCAGCAGACCCUCUGCUCAGACCAGACCAUCCAGAACAGCUAUUGCUAGGUCCUGCCUCCUUUCCUUUUCACAAUGUUCAUGUUGACCAGUGAUAUAUGCCGGCCAGCUAAGAGACUGCAUUACUAACACUCCUUAAAGCAUCCAGUCUGCUCGGGAGACCUGCAUCAGAAUGUGCUGCAAGCCACUCUAAUUGUCCGUGCAGAUCUGCUCCACCCACAUUUGGUGAGCCCUUGAAGAUUUGAAUGAUGAAUCAUUCUUAAGUGCCAAAAUGAAAUAAAACUGUGGAACAUUAAAUAUGGUUCUGUUGUUACUCACAAUGCUUUUCCUUUCAGAAAGGAAUUCUGAUGCAGAAAUGUUCCAUGUUGUAACUUCUUUCUCUUUUUAGUUAAAAAAAAUUGUGAAGAGAAGUGUUUGUCCAUCCAAGCACACAAGACCUCCCAUAGUGAGAAGAAAACUUUGCUGCCACUGUUGCAGCAAUAGCACAGUCCUAAGUAAUCCACCUUCAAGAUUAUGGACACCAUUGCUGCUAUCUGAAUGACACAUUGCAGGCAGUGAUGAAUAGUGUAUUGGUUCACUGCAGGAAGUGCAACAAUUGUAAUGGACUGUGGUAAUGUAGGGACCAAUAUUGUUUAAGAACGAAAGGUUUUAGAGAUGUACUUCUUCAUAAGCAUUGUUUGAAAAAAUUCUGAUUUAUAGCUUAUGUGUAUAAGAUUUUAUGAAAUUCAUAGUUACUAUUAAUGUUUUAAAGUUUAAAUGUAUUGACAGAUUGUAUAUUAAUUUAUUUUAUUUUUAUUGUAUUGUAUUUAUCAAAUCCGUACAGUGCCCCAAACUUUUGUCUCUGGGCGGUAAACAAUAGCAUAAAACAAGUUAAA